UUUUUUUAUUGCAUAAUAUAAAUUAUAAUAAACUAUUAAUGCAUAAAUGCUUGAGUUAGAAAAUCUUACAAAACAUAAAGCAUCUCAAACUUUAUUGAAAUGGAACUGGAACACCUUGCUUCUUGUUCACAAUAGCCAUUGCCAAAUACCGGGUACCCAUGCCAAUCGGCACCUGUUCAUCGGGUCCUUCCCAAAACGGGGCUUCACCUUCACCCACCAGACGCCAGUAUCCUGUCCUUAGGGACUCUGCCUGUUCAUCUGUGCAGUUCUGCAGCAAUGCUUCCACACGGAAAUUUAUUCCCAGAGAACCAAGAAAUUGGGACUGAGUAAUUGGGCCAUGGACACAGACAUCCUCUG
rnacentral:misc_RNA from 1 species